rnacentral:rRNA from 2 species
UUAAGCGACUAAGCGUACACGGUGGAUGCCCUGGCAGUCAGAGGCGAUGAAGGACGUGCUAAUCUGCGAAAAGCGUCGGUAAGGUGAUAUGAACCGUUACAGCCGGCGAUGUCCGAAUGGGGAAACCCAGUGCAAUUCGUUGCACUAUCGUUAACUGAAUACAUAGGUUAACGAGGCGAACCGGGGGAACUGAAACAUCUAAGUACCCCGAGGAAAAGAAAUCAACCGAGAUUCCCCCAGUAGCGGCGAGCGAACGGGGAGCAGCCCGGAGUCUGAAUCAGCUUGUGUGUUAGUGGAAGCGUCUGGAAAGUCGCAGGGUACAGGGUGAUACUCCCGUACACUAAAACACACAGGUUGUGAACUCGAAGAGUAGGGCGGGACACGUGGUAUCCUGUCUGAAUAUGGGGGACCAUCCUCCAAGGCUAAAUACUCCUGACUGACCGAUAGUGAACCAGUACCGUGAGGGAAAGGCGAAAAGAACCCCGGCGAGGGGAGUGAAAAAGAACCUGAAACCGUGUACGUACAAGCAGUAGGAGCCCACUAGUUGGGUGACUGCGUACCUUUUGUAUAAUGGGUCAGCGACUUAUAUUCUGUAGCAAGGUUAACCGUAUAGGGGAGCCGCAGGGAAACCGAGUCUUAACUGGGCGUUAAGUUGCAGGGUAUAGACCCGAAACCCGGUGAUCUAGCCAUGGGCAGGUUGAAGGUUGGGUAACACUAACUGGAGGACCGAACCGACUAAUGUUGAAAAAUUAGCGGAUGACUUGUGGCUGGGGGUGAAAGGCCAAUCAAACCGGGAGAUAGCUGGUUCUCCCCGAAAGCUAUUUAGGUAGCGCCUCGUGAACUCAUCUUCGGGGGUAGAGCACUGUUUCGGCUAGGGGGUCAUCCCGACUUACCAACCCGAUGCAAACUACGAAUACCGAAGAAUGUUAUCACGGGAGACACACGGCGGGUGCUAACGUCCGUCGUGAAGAGGGAAACAACCCAGACCGCCAGCUAAGGUCCCAAAGUCAUGGUUAAGUGGGAAACGAUGUGGGAAGGCCCAGACAGCCAGGAUGUUGGCUUAGAAGCAGCCAUCAUUUAAAGAAAGCGUAAUAGCUCACUGGUCGAGUCGGCCUGCGCGGAAGAUGUAACGGGGCUAAACCAUGCACCGAAGCUGCGGCAGCGACACUAUGUGUUGUUGGGUAGGGGAGCGUUCUGUAAGCCGUUGAAGGUGGCCUGUGAGGGUUGCUGGAGGUAUCAGAAGUGCGAAUGCUGACAUAAGUAACGAUAAUGCGGGUGAAAAACCCGCACGCCGGAAGACCAAGGGUUCCUGUCCAACGUUAAUCGGGGCAGGGUGAGUCGACCCCUAAGGCGAGGCCGAAAGGCGUAGUCGAUGGGAAACAGGUUAAUAUUCCUGUACUCGGUGUUACUGCGAAGGGGGGACGGAGAAGGCUAUGUUGGCCGGGCGACGGUUGUCCCGGUUUAAGCAUGUAGGCGGAUGUUCCAGGUAAAUCCGGAACGUCACUAACGCUGAGGUGUGAUGACGAGGCACUACGGUGCUGAAGUGACAAAUGCCCUGCUUCCAGGAAAAGCCUCUAAGCAUCAGGUAACAUCAAAUCGUACCCCAAACCGACACAGGUGGUCAGGUAGAGAAUACCAAGGCGCUUGAGAGAACUCGGGUGAAGGAACUAGGCAAAAUGGUGCCGUAACUUCGGGAGAAGGCACGCUGAUGGUAGGUGAAGCGACUUGCUCGUGGAGCUGAAAUCAGUCGAAGAUACCAGCUGGCUGCAACUGUUUAUUAAAAACACAGCACUGUGCAAACACGAAAGUGGACGUAUACGGUGUGACGCCUGCCCGGUGCCGGAAGGUUAAUUGAUGGGGUUAUCCGUAAGGAGAAGCUCUUGAUCGAAGCCCCGGUAAACGGCGGCCGUAACUAUAACGGUCCUAAGGUAGCGAAAUUCCUUGUCGGGUAAGUUCCGACCUGCACGAAUGGCGUAAUGAUGGCCAGGCUGUCUCCACCCGAGACUCAGUGAAAUUGAACUCGCUGUGAAGAUGCAGUGUACCCGCGGCAAGACGGAAAGACCCCGUGAACCUUUACUAUAGCUUGACACUGAACACUGGUCCUUGAUGUGUAGGAUAGGUGGGAGGCUUUGAAGUGUGGACGCCAGUCUGCAUGGAGCCAUCCUUGAAAUACCACCCUUUAAUGGCUGGUGUUCUAACGUGGGCCCCUGAUCGGGGUUGCGGACAGUGUCUGGUGGGUAGUUUGACUGGGGCGGUCUCCUCCUAAAGAGUAACGGAGGAGCACGAAGGUCAGCUAAUCCUGGUCGGACAUCAGGAGGUUAGUGCAAUGGCAUAAGCUGGCUUGACUGCGAGCGUGACGGCGCGAGCAGGUGCGAAAGCAGGUCAUAGUGAUCCGGUGGUUCUGAAUGGAAGGGCCAUCGCUCAACGGAUAAAAGGUACUCCGGGGAUAACAGGCUGAUACCGCCCAAGAGUUCAUAUCGACGGCGGUGUUUGGCACCUCGAUGUCGGCUCAUCACAUCCUGGGGCUGAAGUAGGUCCCAAGGGUAUGGCUGUUCGCCAUUUAAAGUGGUACGCGAGCUGGGUUUAGAACGUCGUGAGACAGUUCGGUCCCUAUCUGCCGUGGGCGCUGGAGAAUUGAGGGGGGCUGCUCCUAGUACGAGAGGACCGGAGUGGACGCAUCACUGGUGUUCGGGUUGUCAUGCCAAUGGCAUUGCCCGGUAGCUAAAUGCGGAAGAGAUAAGUGCUGAAAGCAUCUAAGCACGAAACUUGCCCCGAGAUGAGUUCUCCCUGACCCUUUAAGGGUCCUGAAGGAACGUUGAAGACGACGACGUUGAUAGGCCGGGUGUGUAAGCGCAGCGAUGCGUUGAGCUAACCGGUACUAAUGAACCGUGAGGCUUAACCUU